GGCGCUUCAAGGCAGCGAAGCCUAGCCGCACCAGUAUACCUGGUGUGGAGAACAUGAGACGCUGCCUGGUCGGACAGACCUCUGGACCUGCCAGCAGUCCCAGUGCAAGCCGGCUGGUAGAGGCAGUGUGCAUCCAGCUCUGCCGCGUGUGCCCCUCAGGCACCCGUGUGAGCGGUGCCCGGCGGUCGCGGUGGGACAGCAUAACUGCUUCGGUACCAGCACAUCCGGGACCUUGUGCUGGGCCACCAGAGGCUGAUGGCUCGGGCGCCCAUCCAGCUCUAUGAGCUGAAUAGCAGGACCCUCUCGCUGUGGUUCACCAGGACGCAGCGGGAGAAGGAGAUGGCUGUGCUAGCUCCAGGCGUUGCAGCAGAGGGACGACCACCAGCGGUAGCGGGCUCGGCGGCGGCAGCGGUGGCGCCAGCGACAGCAACAGCGGCAGCGCC